AUUGAACGCUUGCGGCAGGCCUAACACAUGCAAGUCGAACGAGUGGCGGACGGGUGAGUAAUGUCUGGGACACUGCCUGAUGGAGGGGGAUAACUACUGGACACGGUAGCUAAUACCGCUUACCAUCGGAUGUGCCCAGAUGGGAUUAGCUAGUAGGUGGGGUAACGUCCGACCUUGGGGACGAUCCCUAGCUGGUCUGAGAGAAUGACCGGCCACACGGGAGUUUAGACACGGUGCAGAGUCCUACGUGAGGCAGCAGUGGGGAAUAUUGCUCAAUGGGGGCAAGCUGGAUGCAGCCAUGCCGCGUGUGUGAAGAAAGACUUCGGGUUGUGAAGUACUUUCAGCGGGGAGGCGAUACCCGCAAAAGAAGCACCGGCUAACUCCGUGCCAGCAGCCGCAGUAAUUC
rnacentral:rRNA from 1 species